rnacentral:rRNA from 1 species
CUACGGAGGGUGCAAGCGUUAUUCGGAAUCAUUGGGCGUAAAGGACGUGUAGGCGGGUUGGCAAGUCAGAUGUGAAAUCCUACAGCUUAACUGUAGAACUGCAUUUGAAACUGCUAACCUAGAGUAUGGGAGGGGGAGAUGGAAUUAGUGGUGUAGGGGUAAAAUCCGUAGAUAUCACUAGGAAUACCGAAAGCGAAGGCGAUCUCCUGGAACAUAACUGACGCUAAGGCGUGAAAGCGUGGGGAGCAAACAGGAUUAGAAACCCUAGUAGUCC